rnacentral:rRNA from 1 species
UACGAAGGGGGCUAGCGUUGCUCGGAAUCACUGGGCGUAAAGCGCACGUAGGCGGGUUGUUAAGUCAGGGGUGAAAUCCUGGAGCUCAACUCCAGAACUGCCUCUGAUACUGGCAAUCUUUGAGUCCGGGAGAGGUGGGUGGAACUGCGAGUGUAGAGGUGAAAUUCGUAGAUAUUCGCAAGAACACCAGUGGCGAAGGCGGCUCACUGGCCCGGUACUGACGCUGAGGUGCGAAAGCGUGGGGAGCAAACAGG